CGCCUCAGGGACGCGUACGGGACCCGUCCGAGUCCGCCUUCGGCGGCCGGAUGCAGGGGUCCACGCUGGACCGGAGGAGGGAGUGCGCCAUG
rnacentral:ncRNA from 1 species